UGACAUUCAUUACACUCCGGGUUCAGAUCUGAAUAGCCGCCGUGCACCAACUCUCUCAUGUGUUCACACUUUGGCAUGUGCCUGGAUUUGUGCGGCCAUGCCGGUGUUCCGAAUCCAAUGCAAGGGGAGCGAUGCUGAUAAAACAUUUCCUCUUGCGAACCGCGUCGCAGCGGCAUGCCCAUGGCAGAUGGUGUUCCAUUCAGCCUCUGUCAACACAGGAGCGAAAACAGAGAGAGGCACAAGAGGACAUUGGUAGAUAGCGGCAGAGGAAACACAAGUGGAUGAGAGAGGAGGCAAUCGGAUUCUGCUGCUGCUCCAAAAGAGGAACUGUGUCUACAGGCUGGGGCCGAGCGCCGAAUGGUUGGAGCCGACAUGUUGUUCAGGUGCUAACGCGACCAUCUGUAGUUUACAUUCUGCUGCCAUCAACAAUAAUCUGACAAAGAACACAGCUGCACCUCCUCUGAAGUGACAGCGCUUGGUGAGCCUGUGUGUCGCCGUCACUGCGCCGCUCAAACUAAUUAAAAGAUUUGCUGAGAAAUGUGCCUGAUCCAGCGGUCAAAAAAAAAAAAAA